rnacentral:lncRNA from 1 species
GAAGCUUUUGGUUGGUGGUUGUUUUGGGUGACUUAAUCAACUUGUAAGAGAGGUAUGUGAUCUUUAAUCCUUGCUUUUAUGGUGUUAUAUUAAGUAUUUAAAGGUUUGAGGGUAAACUAGAAGUUGUAUGGAUGCUUCCUAUGGCUAAAUCUCUUGAAUUAGUGAAGUGGUAGUUGGGUUGGUUAAGUGGCCUACCAUGUGUUUGAUUAAUUGUUAAAGUUUUGAUUCAUGGUUUUAGAUAGAGUUAACACUUGGUAUGUCGGUUAAGAGGAAAACACUGAAAGGAUGAAGCAAGAAAAGUAGUGGUAUGCACUAAUAGCCCAAAUUUCAGAUUUCUGAAAAUUCAAACUUCAGUUCUGCCCGGUUCCAGUUCUUGAUGUUACAGGCUGAAUUAGGCUUAGCACAAAACAUAAAAGUUGUAGAGAAUGAUAUUUUCUAGUUGGCUACAAAAUUUCAGCCAAAUCAGAGCAAUGUAGCCUGUGAAAAAACCGAAAUACCCUUGCUUCCCUGUUUCUGUCCGAAACUGAUAAUCAGCUUCUGUAAUUGGUUAGUUUGACCGGGAAUACUACUGAUUUGGUUAUCGAAGUCUUCUUAAGAAUUAUAGCCUUGUAUCUUAGCUUUCAAAUGGCUUUAUAUUACCUGAAUCGGAGUUGUGUGUGCUGAGAUAUGCUUGAAUGAAUCAGGACUGCUAGUGGAAUUUCACAGUGAGCUUUGAACUGGAAAAUCUGGAGUUGUUUUGGUACCUUUGACCUAGUUAGGAUGAGAACUAGACUAAGUGGUUUUCAUCAAAGUUAUAGCCCUCUGUCUUAGUUUCGAAACGGUAUAACUUGUGCUUCAAUCUAAUAAGCGUAGUUUCGGUUAGGUCCAAUACGCUAAGUAGCGGUGAAUCUGCUUUUUUGGUUUCCUAGCUUAAAGCUCAUUUCCGGUCAUUUUCCUAGCUAAAUCUUGUACUUGAAUGACUUUGAGCCUAUUGAACGGCUGUUGUGAUGAAUUUAUAUUGCGUAUAACUUUGGGAUUGAUUGAGGGAAAUAAUGAAGCCAUAAGUGGUUGGAAAAGUAGGUAAAUACAGAGGGCAUGUGUGACGCCCCGCGGCAGAAGAAAAGGGGAAAAAUUUCUGGUGAAUAGUGUUUUGUGGAGAAUCCGGCCAGAAGCCGUGCAAAUUCUUUAUAUUUUUCUUAAAAAUUCCCUUUUCUUUGACAAAUAUCACUUUAUAAUGGCCCUACUACUCAAUCACCCCACAAUAAGUGCCAAUGAACCUGGAAAGUAGGGUUUCACUUUUAGUUUCAAGAUUGGAGCAAAAUUAGGGUUUACGCGAUUUUCGCCGGAUGAAUUUUCGGUACGAAGCAAGGAUCAAAUUUGGUGAUCAAAAAUGACUUUUAAGUGAGAAAUAAUAUGUGAUUAGUAGCAAUGAUAUAAGGUUAGUGAAUGGGAAGUAAAAACCCUAAUACGUGUGUUUUUAAGAAAAACGGCGCGAACCGGCGGGUCCCGCGCACUACCGGUUGAACGCACCACUUGACCACCACUUUCUUACCAUACAAGCUUAUUGACUUUUGAGCAAAAUAUCUUCUUGUUUGGCAGCUGCUUUGACCGAAAAUUUGAGGCUAGAAAAUAGCAAGGAAGAAAGAGAAAAAUGAAAGGUGGUGGUGGCGACACUUGUCGCCACCCUAAAGUUUCUUGGCCAAGUGAUUAACUAGCCUUCUUAAACCAAUUUUCUGCACUUUCCUCUUCAUUUUUCCAGCAGCUGGUCGACCAAGAGGGAGAGAGAAAGUGAGAGCAAGAAACAAUUCCUUCUUCUUGAUUCUAACCAACCAAGUGACAAAUUAAAUUUCUAAACCGAUUAAACUUACCUUUGAGUGAUUAGUUAGUGAUUGUUGAUGAAAUUUUGGAAAGAGAAAGCUUGGGCUACACUUGGUGAACUCUAAUCAAGGUAAGGAAGAUGAUAUCUCUAAAUUUUACUUUCAAUCUUGUUUAAAUUAAGCUUAGUAACUUGAUUUGUGGUGGAAUCAUGGAUGCUAUCAUGUUUUGGAAGUUUUUCCCUUUUUAUAUGAUGAACUAGGGUUUGAGGAAUUUCUGCCCAAUUUGGUGUAUGAUGCAUAUAUGUUGUAAUUAAGUUUAUAGAAGGGGUUUUGGUAGUGAUUGAAGUGAGAAAUUAAGGAAGAUUGCAUUAAAAACUAAAAAUUCCAGAUUUCUGGAAAUUCUUGCUUCCAUUCUGUCCGGUUUUGUAACUGUAUGUUGGAGGCCGAAUUGGCCUUAGGUCAAAGAAUAAAAGUUGUAUAGAAUGGUAUUUUAUAGGUGCUUACAAAAUUUCAGCUCAAUCGGAUCAACAUAGGUCAUGAAAAGUCCAAAAUACCCUUACUGUUUUAUGUUUUUCCCCAGCAGUCCGUGUGAUCCGUUUGUCCAGUUUAUCACGUUUUUUGACUGGGAUUCGUACUGAUUUAGCUUUUUACUAAAACAUGAAAGUUGUAGUAUUCCGACUUAGCUUUCAAAUUCCCCUAAGAACACCUGAUUCGGACUUUUGUACUCUGAGAUAUGACCAUUACAGGGUAAUGCGGUUAUAUAGCCGACGAAUUGGUUUCUGGUUUAGUAAUUUGAGGAUUUGACUAAGUUACAUUAGGAACUGGACUAAGUGACCUUCAUGAACAUUGUAGCUCUGUGUCUUAGCUUCGAAACGGCAUAGGUUACGCCUCAAUCCGAUAAGCGUAGCCUCGGAUAUGUUAUUUCCGCAUUCGUACGUCAAAUCUAUCUUGUGCUAAGUUGAAUUUCUGCACUUGUGAUUGUUGUGAAUCUUGUUUUUAUGAUAUUGUGAGCCUAUGGAAUGGCUCUUGGCUUGAAUUGUUUAUAUGUGUGAUGUUGGGUUGUGGUUGAAGAAAAAUAAUGAAGCCUAAAUGGCUGGAAAUUAGGUAAACACAAAGGGCAUGCUGUCCGAAUUGACACUCGAGGACUAGGAAAUGAGACUUGUAACUUGUGUAAAGGUUAAGUGAUUAUUACUUGAACUAGCAAGCACCUUUGCUACUUUGUUUAUCGAGGGUUAUACAUUAGGACUUGGCCGAACUUGCACCCUUGAGGAAAAGACAUAAUGGCCAAUGUAAACUUGUAUUUCCUUGUACUUUCAACUCAAGUGUUAUUUCCAAGUAUCCAUACUACAAAACCUUAUGAUUUGAAAAGCGAGCAAGUGUUUCACGAAUGCCUUUCAAAUGAAUUUCAAUUGGUUGAUUCUUAAUGAACGGAACGUUUAAGUUUCGAAUCUUACUCGUGUUUCAAAUUCUCAAAUUGGAUUUUUAUCGCAGAGCUGGACUUCAAACCUGGAGUAUAGUUGAACGUGAAUACUUGAAGCACUAUAUUUUGUGUGAGUGAUCCCUCGACUGUUCCCAAAGUUACUUUGAACUAAUUCUUGCAUUUAUUACUCCAUUGCAUAUCAUUUGGGGUUCGGGUGUGUGCCAUGACAUAAUUUGGCUCCAAUGAGUUCUUGGAAAGUCUUGUGCUUAGAACCAAUGUCUCAACUAUUGUUUACACAUUCUUUGGAGCCCGAUGGCUCCUUACCUCUGUUUCACAGUUACCUGAUCUAAACGAGCGUUGGAUAUUUAAGUACAAGAACUUCACUGGCUCACAUGAGCAAUAAAUGAACAUUUGAUUACUGCAUCAUGACAUCAUAUCAAUGCUUUAUUGUGAAACAUACUUGGCUGCUGAUUUUACUGGUCACUCGCUGAGCUUUUAGCUCACCCCCUAUUAUCUUCUUCUCCCCACAAGGAUCGAGGUAAAGGAAGAACUUGUAUUUGGAUCUUUGUGUGGCUGGAUGGCGUACAUCUUGUAUAGUUUAGAUUUGGUUUUGGUUUAUGUACCUUUGGGCCUGUAUAAAUAUUUGAAAUUGAAUCGAAUGUAUAUCUACAUUCUACGCUUAGAACUAGUUUCCGCUUCGCUUAUGAUAUGUAAAUUUGGAGAAUUGGAUGUAUUAUUUGAGUUGUACCUUGUAAUUUACUUGAGGAAUGUAGUAAGUGAGUGAGUCCCGGCGAGAGCUGGGCAGGCGGCCCGCCAAACCCUCUGGUACGCCUUAGGGGGAGGUGGGGUCGUCACAAAUGGUAUCAGAGCUUAGGCUUCAGAUCUUUGUAGUGUAUCCUAGGCUUAAAGUUUAGGAUGCCGGACUGUGGGAUUGGUUUGUACGUUCAGUGCUCUUUUGGAGCGUCAGUUGUGAAUCUUGAAAAUGGUACGGGUAAGAUAUGAUUUGGUUGAAUUACGCUUGAGAGCGUACGACCUGAGCUGUACAAUUUCUUAGUUUUGAAUUCUUGGCUAGGGUUUUGAUAGAUUAUGGUGGUGGCUGGAAUUGUUGAGAAAAGUUUUGGUUUAUAUUUUUCUUCUAUUUUUCCUGUUUGAUUAAGGUUACACCACCCGACUGGUAAAUGUUAAGAUUUGAGAUAUUUGAACUGUCUAAGACCGACUAGACUGAGCUCAUUUGAGACUUGAAUUUGAAUCGGCUAGUGUACCCUUACAUACACUUGAUAGACCUGACCUAACUGAAAAUAGGGUAUCUCUUUUACUCUUGAGUAAGUAUCUUGAUUCAUAUAUGAUCUGUAUGUGGAUUUGAGUUUGAUGACUGCUUGAGAGUGUGAAUUACUGGGCAUAAGCUAGGCAAGUGAGUUCCUACUCGUAUUCAUGUUCUUUGAAUCUGAAAUAAUUGACCCUGCUUUUGAACCGAUAUACUUGAACCCUGUUUUUGACUCUGUUUCUGAACAUUUUCGUACUUGUUUGGUUGUAGACCGGCUACUACUCCUCUGUAGCGGUUGAACUGAACCUCUCUGAUGAGGUAUUGCCUGUUGUGUUACCAAGCACCGCCAUUCUCCUAGCGAGGCAUACCUGUUGUGUUUCCAAGCACUAUCAGGGAUGAAAUUCUUGAACUGAACCUCUCUGAUGAGGUAUUGCCUGUUGUGUUACCAAGCACCGCCAUUCUUUUGGCGAGGCAUACCUGUUGUGUUUCCAAGCACCAUCAGGGAUGAAACUUUGACUUGAAGCUCUCUGGUGAAGUUUAGCCGUUGUGCUAACUUGUUGUGUUUCCAAGCACCACCAGGGUCAAUUUCUUGAGCUAAGAUCCUCUGGUGAAGUUUAGCCGUUGUGCUAACUUGUUGUGUUUCCAAGCACCACCAAGGAUGAAAUUUUGAACUGAGGUUCUCUGGCGAGGUAUAGCCGUUGUGCUAACCUGUUGUGUUGUCCAGCACCGCCAUAGACAAAAUCUUGCAUCUGAGGCUCUGGUGAAGUUUAGCCGUAGUGCUAGCUUGUUGUAUUUUCAAGCACCACCGGGGACAAACUCCUGAGACUUUCUGGUGAAGUAUAGCUGAGUGCUAGCUUGUUGUGUUUUCAAGCACCAUCAGGGGUAAUUUCUAAUCUGAGACAUCGUUAUGUUCUGGAUUGUUUUUCCAAAUAUCAGGGACUUUAAGUCCGAUUUCGAGCCUUUUGUAUAUGUAUCCAGUUACUCGUCUGACUAUUUAUUGGAUCAAAGAUUAUUUGAUAAGUUGGAUUGGAGUACUUUUAGUACUUGAUUGUGAUGAGUGAUUCUUAGUAUGUGAUUAACCAUUGAGAUAUUUGAUCUGAUUAGUAUUUGAUUAUGAUAAGCAAGAUUGACAUGAUUCUUAAUGCGUGAUCGACUUUCGAGAACUAUUUUGAUCUGAUUAGUACAAGUUGAAAUGUCGAGGACGACAUUCUUUUAAGGAGGGGAGUUUGUGACGCCCCGCGGCAGAAGAAAAGGGGAAAAAUUUCUGGUGAAUAGUGUUUUGUGGAGAAUCCGGCCAGAAGCCGUGCAAAUUCUUUAUAUUUUUCUUAAAAAUUCCCUUUUCUUUGACAAAUAUCACUUUAUAAUGGCCCUACUACUCAAUCACCCCACAAUAAGUGCCAAUGAACCUGGAAAGUAGGGUUUCACUUUUGGUUUCAAGAUUGGAGCAAAAUUAGGGUUUACGCGAUUUUCGCCGGAUGAAUUUUCGGUACGAAGCAAGGAUCAAAUUUGGUGAUCAAAAAUGACUUUUAAGUGAGAAAUAAUAUGUGAUUAGUAGCAAUGAUAUAAGGUUAGUGAAUGGGAAGUAAAAACCCUAAUACGUGUGUUUUUAAGAAAAACGGCGCGAACCGGCGGGUCCCGCGCACUACCGGUUGAACGCACCACUUGACCACCACUUUCUUACCAUACAAGCUUAUUGACUUUUGAGCAAAAUAUCUUCUUGUUUGGCAGCUGCUUUGACCGAAAAUUUGAGGCUAGAAAAUAGCAAGGAAGAAAGAGAAAAAUGAAAGGUGGUGGAGUUUCUUGGCCAAGUGAUUAACUAGCCUUCUUAAACCAAUUUUCUGCACUUUCCUCUUCAUUUUUCCAGCAGCUGGUCGACCAAGAGGGAGAGAGAAAGUGAGAGCAAGAAACAAUUCCUUCUUCUUGAUUCUAACCAACCAAGUGACAAAUUAAAUUUCUAAACCGAUUAAACUUACCUUUGAGUGAUUAGUUAGUGAUUGUUGAUGAAAUUUUGGAAAGAGAAAGCUUGGGCUACACUUGGUGAACUCUAAUCAAGGUAAGGAAGAUGAUAUCUCUAAAUUUUACUUUCAAUCUUGUUUAAAUUAAGCUUAGUAACUUGAUUUGUGGUGGAAUCAUGGAUGCUAUCAUGUUUUGGAAGUUUUUCCCUUUUUAUAUGAUGAACUAGGGUUUGAGGAAUUUCUGCCCAAUUUGGUGUAUGAUGCAUAUAUGUUGUAAUUAAGUUUAUAGAAGGGGUUUUGGUAGUGAUUGAAGUGAGAAAUUAAGGAAGAUUGCAUUAAAAACUAAAAAUUCCAGAUUUCUGGAAAUUCUUGCUUCCAUUCUGUCCGGUUUUGUAACUGUAUGUUGGAGGCCGAAUUGGCCUUAGGUCAAAGAAUAAAAGUUGUAUAGAAUGGUAUUUUAUAGGUGCUUACAAAAUUUCAGCUCAAUCGGAUCAACAUAGGUCAUGAAAAGUCCAAAAUACCCUUACUGUUUUAUGUUUUUCCCCAGCAGUCCGUGUGAUCCGUUUGUCCAGUUUAUCACGUUUUUUGACUGGGAUUCGUACUGAUUUAGCUUUUUACUAAAACAUGAAAGUUGUAGUAUUCCGACUUAGCUUUCAAAUUCCCCUAAGAACACCUGAUUCGGACUUUUGUACUCUGAGAUAUGACCAUUACAGGGUAAUGCGGUUAUAUAGCCGACGAAUUGGUUUCUGGUUUAGUAAUUUGAGGAUUUGACUAAGUUACAUUAGGAACUGGACUAAGUGACCUUCAUGAACAUUGUAGCUCUGUGUCUUAGCUUCGAAACGGCAUAGGUUACGCCUCAAUCCGAUAAGCGUAGCCUCGGAUAUGUUAUUUCCGCAUUCGUACGUCAAAUCUAUCUUGUGCUAAGUUGAAUUUCUGCACUUGUGAUUGUUGUGAAUCUUGUUUUUAUGAUAUUGUGAGCCUAUGGAAUGGCUCUUGGCUUGAAUUGUUUAUAUGUGUGAUGUUGGGUUGUGGUUGAAGAAAAAUAAUGAAGCCUAAAUGGCUGGAAAUUAGGUAAACACAAAGGGCAUGCUGUCCGAAUUGACACUCGAGGACUAGGAAAUGAGACUUGUAACUUGUGUAAAGGUUAAGUGAUUAUUACUUGAACUAGCAAGCACCUUUGCUACUUUGUUUAUCGAGGGUUAUACAUUAGGACUUGGCCGAACUUGCACCCUUGAGGAAAAGACAUAAUGGCCAAUGUAAACUUGUAUUUCCUUGUACUUUCAACUCAAGUGUUAUUUCCAAGUAUCCAUACUACAAAACCUUAUGAUUUGAAAAGCGAGCAAGUGUUUCACGAAUGCCUUUCAAAUGAAUUUCAAUUGGUUGAUUCUUAAUGAACGGAACGUUUAAGUUUCGAAUCUUACUCGUGUUUCAAAUUCUCAAAUUGGAUUUUUAUCGCAGAGCUGGACUUCAAACCUGGAGUAUAGUUGAACGUGAAUACUUGAAGCACUAUAUUUUGUGUGAGUGAUCCCUCGACUGUUCCCAAAGUUACUUUGAACUAAUUCUUGCAUUUAUUACUCCAUUGCAUAUCAUUUGGGGUUCGGGUGUGUGCCAUGACAUAAUUUGGCUCCAAUGAGUUCUUGGAAAGUCUUGUGCUUAGAACCAAUGUCUCAACUAUUGUUUACACAUUCUUUGGAGCCCGAUGGCUCCUUACCUCUGUUUCACAGUUACCUGAUCUAAACGAGCGUUGGAUAUUUAAGUACAAGAACUUCACUGGCUCACAUGAGCAAUAAAUGAACAUUUGAUUACUGCAUCAUGACAUCAUAUCAAUGCUUUAUUGUGAAACAUACUUGGCUGCUGAUUUUACUGGUCACUCGCUGAGCUUUUAGCUCACCCCCUAUUAUCUUCUUCUCCCCACAAGGAUCGAGGUAAAGGAAGAACUUGUAUUUGGAUCUUUGUGUGGCUGGAUGGCGUACAUCUUGUAUAGUUUAGAUUUGGUUUUGGUUUAUGUACCUUUGGGCCUGUAUAAAUAUUUGAAAUUGAAUCGAAUGUAUAUCUACAUUCUACGCUUAGAACUAGUUUCCGCUUCGCUUAUGAUAUGUAAAUUUGGAGAAUUGGAUGUAUUAUUUGAGUUGUACCUUGUAAUUUACUUGAGGAAUGUAGUAAGUGAGUGAGUCCCGGCGAGAGUUGGGCAGGCGGCCCGCCAAACCCUCUGGUACGCCUUAGGGGGAGGUGGGGUCGUCACAGCAUGCUGCCCAAAAUUUUAGGACUACGCGAUUCCUUCAAUUGAGUUGAUCUUAGUACAAAUGAAGGGUUUUGGGGUUGUUUGUAACCCUAGGACCAACUGUUAGUCAUAUUUUAUUCUUUUGUACUAGUACUUAACCUGGAAAGACGUACGACAUGAAGUCGAGCCUCACUUGUACAUUCCGUUUACUCGAUUUUGAAUGUGAAACCUUCAAUUGUUUUACUUUGAUGAUUUUAGGCUUUCUUGGCGAUUAAAACCAGUUUGAAGUGAAAACUUUUGAAGUAUUUGUACUUGAACCAGUGAGUGUACCACUCCCCUCAUUUGCUGUUUAACCUGGUUUCUGCCUCUGCAAUCUGCAAUUUAAAUAACUGCACUAUCUGUUUAUUCUGUUUGAGACGACGGUGUACUUUAACACACUCGUUCUCUUGUCUGUCCAUAUGCCUAUUUACUGUGUAUAAUCUGUUAACUGUAUCUGAAUCUGUUCGGACGUCGUUUGGAGGCUGGUAUCCAACGACCUUUCUGUGACCUCUGAGCUCAACACCUGUGGCUAGUUACUCAAGUCGGGCGGACAAGGGCCUGGUCGAUUAGAUAACGAACCACGGUAGUCUAUUUUGGGAUCUUUGGGUAUUGAGACUCUUGAUUCCGGUAUACUCGAAUAUUACUAUUACUGUUCCUGAAUGGAGUUCGGGGCCGGUAGGGGUAUGUUUGGUGGACGGAAAUUGGUGUAAAAUGUGGUCUACGGAUAUGUUGGGUCUAUUUACGUUGACGGAGAGUCAACGGGUUCGGAUCAAGUACUACAAAUGGAAAUCUGGCUCCUGAGAGCCACUUGUAUCCUUUCCCUUUGAAUCACUGUGUCCAAAUGCUUUCCUUUAUAUCUGGUAUAUGUAUCUGAUUGAUUAAACGUGAAAGGCCAUGAUUUUACCCCUAUAUGUUUGGUACCUCAUUGAGCGUAAACUCACCCAUUUCUGUUGCUUUUUAUUUUCCUUACAGGGGACAAACUUGGAAAUCACGAUUUUGGAAGAAAAGAGUCAAGCUAGUAUAUAUGUCAUGUUGUUAAACUCUUUUGAAAACGAAACCCUAAUUGUAUUUUAUGUAGUAAGAGUACCUCGGAUCGCACUGUAUGUUAAUUUGUUCAAGAGUUCAAUGUAAAUAUAUGUAUAAGUAUUUAACCUUAUCUAUUAAAUGUAUUCCGUUGAGACUGAUUUUAUGGCUUGGUAGGCAUGUUCUCACCUUAGUAGUUUCCGCGCGUACUAUGUUGGGUUUGUGUGAAUCGACUCCAUAGUCCUGGUAAGAGUUGGACAGGCGGUCCAUCGAAUCCUUUGGUUCGCCUUAGGGUUAGGUGCGGCUAUCACAGGUGGUAUCAGAGCCACUUCGCAUGGUCUCUGCGCGGAGUGAACUUGGGCCAAGUGGUGUUACGGUACUGAUUUCAUGAAUAUGUCUAAGUGCUCGUUUGAGCAUAAGUUAUGAACCGGGCAUGUUAUAAGUGUAAAAAUCUUUAUCAUGGAACUUGAGGAAGAUAGAUAUGUAUGUCGGGUAGGAAUCUAAAAUAUGGAUGAUUUACUCUUGGGACCAGCCGGCUCGAGUUGUGAAUUAUCUUAGAUGGAAUUCUUGCGCCCAGAUACGAAAGAGAUGAGAGCCUAGGUUAGAAAAGAUUUAAGCGAACUAGAAAUGCGAUUCUAUGGAACUUCGUGUGGUUUGUUCAGGGGUGGUUAAGCAUGAUCAAUCUUGAUUAAGAUAUAAAUGGUUUUGUUCUCGUAGAUUAUGGACGGAGCCCUAGAGGGGGAAAAGCUUUUCGUUAGUUAUUUUUGUACUUGUGACCUAGCCUGUCUGUAGUACUUUUGGAUGACCCCGCUAUUUUCAUGGAUCUCUCAUAUUUGUAUCUAAUUGACUGCUACUGUGUGACUGGUUCGGUACAGUUGUGUAUAUAUAUGCUUUUGAUCUGUAUGUACCUCUUGUUAUUUGCUUAUGCCUAUAAUUAUCUUUAACAUUAUCCUUGCACCUCGACCCUAGAUUGAUUUAGAUCAAUGGAGGGCACUCGUAGUGGACGAGUCCGUGGGCAUGGAAUUAGGCAACCCACGUCUGAAAGGGGCACUGGGGAAAUCUCGUUCGGACCAAACCCUGAACCUAGGGUUGAUCCCAACGUCCAAAUAGCUACUGCCAUUCAGCAAAUGACUGAUUUGCUAGCUCAAGUGGUGCACCAACAGGGUCACAACCCUAACCCCAACCCUGGGAACCCUGGUAAUCACGUGGAGAGCGAGGACCGGGCCCUCAAGAGGUUCCAGAAGUUUGCCCCACCAAAGUUUAUUGGGGGACCUGAUCCAGAUGUAGUCGAAAGGUGGCUAGAGAAAAUGGUGGAUAUCUUUGCUGCCCUGCACUACACGGAGGAACGGCAGGUGACUUUUGCUGUUUUCUAGUUGGAAGAGGCGGCCCGUUCCUGGUGGAACGUAAUACGACAAAAGUGGGACCGAGAGCAAACGCCCAAGAUUUGGGUGAACUUUAUGCGGGAGUUCAACACUAAAUUCUUCCCUCCUCUAGUUCAGGAAUAAAAGGAUGAUGAAUUUAUCCGACUUCGUCAAGGGAUCCAGACAGUGGCCGAGUACGAGAGCCAAUUCACUCGGCUGUCCAAAUUCGUGCCCGAACUCAUCGUGAUCGAGCAACGAAGAAUACGGCGAUUCGUCCAGGGUCUAAACGUGGAGAUCCAGAAAGAUCUAGCCGUAGACCAAAUUAACGCCUUCAGCGAUGCCGUAGAGAAGGCGCAACGAGUAGAGAAUGCUAGGCUGCAGGUAAAAAACUUCCAAGCCAAGAAAAGGGGCUUUCCUGGGAGUAGCUCUGAGCAAGAAGGUACAAGUACGCCUCCUAAGAUUGGAAAGGGAAACGGGGGAGUACGACAACCAGGGGUGUCACGUGAUGUCUCUCAGGGGGGACCGGUCUCUGCUACUCGUGGUCCCUGUGGAUAUUGCGGAGGACUAAAUCAUACGGAGGCAAAUUAUUGGAAGAAAGAGAGAAAAUGUCUGCACUGUGGAAGUACCGAUCAUCGGAUUGUUGACUGCCCAGUUCGAUUGCGAAAAGGAAAAGGGACUCCGCAACCAACUAAGACUAACCCUGGACAGUCGGAAAAGGAAGGGACUGGAUUAAAGGUACCGGCUCGGGUAUAUUCUUUAGAGCACCAUCAAGUUCCUGACUCGUCAGAGGACGUAGAAGGUACGAUCCAUUGGGUACCUUAGAUUUUGAAAGAUUCCGUUGAUAAGAAAAUUUCGAGGACAAAAUUUCUUUAAGGGGGAGAGAGUGUGAGAACCGGUAAUUUUCUUAAUUGCUAGGUUUUACUUUCUUUUAAUUGCACGCUUUUUCACAUUUUAUUUAUUCAAAAAAUUGUGAAAAUAAUUUUUAUGAGUAAAGAUGGUUUUGAAAUCAUUUUUUCCGAGUAUAAGUUAGUUUAUAAGAUUUUAAGAGUGUAUAUCGGAUGUGGGACCCACUAGUGCGGUAAGUUCGAUAAAAUUCGGCCAAUUAGAUUAAGUUUUGUAUACAGGAAUUAAUUUACUAGGUGUUAGUAAGAUAAGGGAAAGAAUUGGAGGAUAGGAACAUGAUUUGGCAAAGAUUAGUGAGAGAAUGGCAAAGAUGGUGCCAAGUGGCAAGACACCAACCAUGUAACUUAUUUGACCAAAGAAUUUGAUGAAUUAAAACCAUUUUUUUUUUUUGCUCCAUUUCCUUCAUAAGCUGGCCGGCCAUCUUGGAGCAGGAAAGGAGAAGAAGAAACUCCAUUUUCUUGCUUUUUACUCCUAGUUUAAUCUUAGGGAAAAAAAAAUCAAAAGUGAAGGAGUGAGUUAGUGAGUGAAAUCCAUCCAACUCUAGUGUGUGAUCUUCAAGCCUUGAAGCUUUUGGUUGGUGGUUGUUUUGGGUGCCUUAAUCAACUUGUAAGAGAGGUAUGUGAUCUUUAAUCCUUGCUUUUAUGGUGUUAUAUUAAGUAUUUAAAGGUUUGAGGGUAAACUAGAAGUUGUACGGACGCUUCCUAUGGCUAAAUCUCUUGAAUUAGUGAAGUGGUAGUUGGGUUGGUUAAGUGGCCUACCAUGUGUUUGAUUAAUUGUUAAAGCUUUGAUUCAUGGUUUUAGUUAGAGUUAACACUUGGUAUGUUGGUUAAGAGGAAAACAAUGAAAGGAUGAAGCAAGAAAAGUAGUGGUAUGCACUAAUAGCCCAAAUUUCAGAUUUCUGGAAAUUCAAACUUCAGUUCUGCCCGGUUCCAGUUCUUGAUGUUAGAGGCCGAAUUAGGCUUAGCACAAAACAUGAAAGUUUUAGAGAAUGAUGUUUUCUAGUUGCCUGAAAAAUUUUAGCCCAAUCAGAGUAACGUAGCCUGUGAAAAAACUGAAAUACCCUUGCUUCCCUGUUUCUGUCCGAAACUGAUAAUCAGCUUCUGUAAUUGGUUAGUUUGACCGGGAAUACUACUGAUUUGGUUGUCGAUGUCUUCUUAAGAAUUAUAGACUUGUAUCUUAGCUUUCAAAUGGCUUUGGAAUUACCUGAAUCGAAGUUGUGUGUGCUGAGAUAUGCUUGAAUGAAUCAGGACUGCUAGUGGAAUUUCACAGUGAGCUUUGAACUGGAAAAUCUGGAGUUGUUUUGGUACCUUUGACCUAGUUAGGAUGAGAACUAGACUAAGUGGUCUUCAUCAAAGUUAUAUCCCUCUGUCUUAGUUUCGAAACGGUAUAACUUGUGCUUCAAUCCAAUAAGCGUAGUUUCGGUUAGGUCCGAUACGCUAAGUAGCGGUGAAUCUGCCUUUUUGGUUUCCUAGCUUAAAGCUCAUUUCCGGUCAUUUUCCUAGCUAAAUCUUGUACUUGAAUGACUUUGAGCCUAUUGAACGGCUGUUGUGAUGAAUUUAUAUUGCGUAGGACUUUGGGAUUGAUUGAGGGAAAUAAUGAAGUUAUAAGUGGUUGGGAAAAUAGGUAAAUACAAAGGGCAUGCUAUGAAUUUUCCCUCAGUCACACGCGGCUUUUAUCUUUUGACUAACAUAACUAUGAAGAAUUUUUCAAGUGUUGGGAAUUCAAGGAUCAUAAAAAAGUGUUUCCUCCAAAAAAAAAAGGGGAACAUAAACUAGUGCAAGAAAUUAGACAAUUUCCUCACGUUUUAAAAUGCUACUUGCCGUCAGAAUAUGUGGAUAAAUUUUAUUUACAACUAAUUUAACUUUAAUAAACAAAUCGAAGUUGUUGAAUAAUUGAAACAAUUUGUAAUAUAGGUAGAAGCUUUCUUGCUUAUUUUUCUUCAAGUCAAGCCACGACCAGAUGGAAGCUUCUUACAAUUACGACUACGCGACUAGAUCAAUUAGUGGUCCAAGUCUUCAACUGUGUCUCUCUUGACCAAGUCAUGCAAGAUUGAUUCAUCAGCAUUCAAUUCAACUCAACAACGUGAAGACUAAGGAAACUAAUGUACUUGACAUUAUAUAAAAGAACAAGCACGUUUUUUUAAUAAAAUAAACAAAAAAGAGCACGUUUCUAAAUGAGAAACUACCUAAGCUGUAUCCCUAAAGUCAACUAGGAAAUUAAUAAAUCGUCAUUAGUGAUGAAAGUGAAGGCAAAUAGCUAAGAAAAAUAAUGUUUUUUUUUUCUUCCGAAUCCCAAAGAGCUUACGUCAAUUUUUACAAAUCUAAACCCGAGGAAACCCCAAAAGCUUAUGAAAAAUAAUGUUCUAAAUAACCAAAAAAUGUCCUAUACAGAAUCAUUUCGAGAUACUAUAAUCUCAUGCUGUUAACCCUAAAAUAUAAUGAAACCACCAAAAUUAGUGAGCAGGUUAUAUAAUCUUUUGCCUCUAUUUUAUUAAGUUCUACCAAUUGGCAUAAAUAAUGGGUGGUGUAUGAAUUGAAGAAGGGCAUGCACGUCGUUCACUUUCUAUACGGGUGACAUUUGAAUAAUCACAAGCUUGUUUGCUGCUGCCAAAUGGGAAUUGGCUGGUGACAACAAUAGAAUUGAAUAGUAACAGUAGCAGUAAAGAUGAUGAAAUACCAAGAAGAUGAUGAUCCAUUGGAAUUUUUUGGUAACUGUUUAUCUGAUAAAGAGAGCUCAGAUGGGUGGUUUUAUUUACGUAAGUUAUGAAACCAUCACUUUAUAGAGUUUCUUUCUGUGCUUGCAGAAACUCUAUUAAGGUGAUAAAACGAGGACGAAGACGGUGGCUGCUUGAAGUUUUCAUGGAAAAAAAACUUGUGGACGUGCUGGAUGGGGUGGUAUUGUGGCAACUAGCAAUGUCCACUUGUCAACCAAAACCUUGACAGCGUGAAAAUUCCUUGGGUUCUUGUGGGAAAGACCUUGGAGACACAUACUCAGAUACGGGGUUGUGAGUAAUAACCGUUUAAAAUAAUGUAAUAUUUUUUAAACAAAGUGUAAUUUUAUAUGAAUUAUUUGUAAAAUUUAAUAGCAGAAACACAAUUAUUACAUAUAGAAUUCACAUAAACAGUAACAGAAUAUCACACAUCUAUUAUAAGAAUGUACAAGAAGUUAAUAUAGUAUUACAAACCAUUUAAAAAUGUUACACUAUUCAGGAUAUCAACAGUCCCUGCCCUGCGUUCGUACAUGCUCCAUAAAUGGACAUUUUAAUUCAUUAAAUUUGGGUUUCAAAUUGAUUUGGUUGCCUAUGUUACACAAUAAUCAGUUCUGACCCUAUCUUUUGCAAUUGAUAUCAAUUCGUGAU